GGGCGCAUAGCUCAGCUGGGAGAGCGCUUGCCUUACAAGCAAGAUGUCGGCGGUUCGAGCCCGUCUGCGCCCACCA
rnacentral:tRNA from 1 species